CUCUCGCACCGCACACCUAUACACACGCGCAACCGCCCCCUCCGCUCCUCUAUCUUCCUCGGUGACACCAGAUCUGGGAAGUCAAUGGGAGGACAACGACGAUCAUGAGAGGCGGCAACCGCAGAACAAGCACUAUCGUCGACCAGAUCGAAGUCCAUCGCAGGACGCUCGAGGUGGUCGUGGUGCCGACCUCUUCAUCGGUGUCGCAUAACGAGCUCCACGCACAGGGGAGGCAUCUCCGCUACCGAUGUUGCCAAGUUCUGUGCGACCUCGGCCUCACCAUACAAGAGGAAUAGGUCAACCAUGCCGUUGGUCAAGUUUCAUUUGGAGGUGAGGAGGGGCGGCCGGGCCCGGAGGAGGUCAUCUCCAACGCCCGCAUCCUCAUCACCGACCUUGCCCACACAGGCCGCUUAGGUCAACAUCGUCCCCGUCGGCCCGCAACUCAUCCUGCCUAAAGACGAGCAGAUAUGUAUCACGAAGCUUCCUCCAUUUCGGUCAACCAUUUCCCAUUAUGUUUCAGUUCAAUUUAUGAUUUUUGUGUUGAUAUGGAUGGAAUCUCCAUCUUUAUUUGUGGAGAUUAUAUUUUAUCCAUGGCUACAAGAUGUUUGAUAAUAAUUCAACCAGGCUACAUAGGUUCAUUGAAUAUUUUUUCGGUUGACAUCCUUAACUAGCUACUAGAAAUGAUGUAUUACUAUAUUACAUUAGUAUGUUGUAGUUUUCUUGAAUUACGAUGUUCUGUGCACGGAUUGGAUCACUUCUGCUAGGCCUUCUUGUUGGUUGGUAAUAUACUCGUUCAUUUUGUCUAGGAUUAUUUAAUGUAGCAAGAAUGAUAGAGUUUUAGGAUGAAGCAACGAAUGGAUAGGGAAAUGUGUGUCUCAUACUACCAGAACUGAAUACUGAAAUAAGAAUUAUGUGAGAGUUCACAUGAGAUAGUAACAAAUCUGGCUGAGUAUAUCUCGCAAAUUUCAGAAAUCUUUGCUGAAUAAAGUGGAUAUUUCCCUAUUGCCAUGAUUGGAAGGGCCCUUGUCAUUUUUUGCGGCAAUGAUUUUUUUCUAUUUUUUGUUAGCUAGAUGCCAUAUUUGUUUCUGCACACGGAUUUUAAUACAAUAUGCCUUAUUACAUUUGAAGUAUGUUGUUUUUAAUUUAUGAAAGGAACUUUGUGAAUCGUCAUACAACAAUGCAAGACCCCUGGAUUGGUUUAAAUGGUAUAUAUUUUGGUUUGAUGAAGAAGCUAUAGCAAAUGAUCAUGCAAGCAGUAACUAUAAGUUAACAAAAGAAGGAUUUCUAUCAAAGUAUAUGAAGUGUGGACAUUUUUAAAUCAUUGCAUUGAUGUCGCGGAUAGUGGCGCCAUACAUGUCCCUUUCGUCACCGUCUAAAGGUAGCUCAAAUGUUCUAUCAGAUGAUCCCAUGUCUCUCUCUCACACACACACAUUCUCUCUCUCUCUCUCUCUCUUCAAAUUUGAUAACAUGCCUUCAGUUCCAACAACAUAUAUAUCACACGGUCAUCUAUUAUUUUGGUCAUAAAUUGAUUUCACGAUAUAAAUUAAAUGAAGGGGGAGCAACUCGUUGGAGGAGGGAAACAAGUAAUAUAUUUUUCUUUCCUUUAUCUAUGCUCUCUAAAAAUCGGUCAUUUUUGUGGUGGGUUGGAGAGUAACCAAGGUGUGUAUAAGAUAACAACGAAUUUGCUAGACAAGUAUGUUCCUCGUAGAGUUCUCGAUACAACAAUCAUAAAGGCUGUCUAGCUCGAGGAACUCGCGUGGUGACGAUGCUCUGGGCUCUACUUUCAGUCAUACAAUGUCGAUCGCUCGGGCUGUAGCAGCAAGGAAGAGUUGGAAUCGAUGUUUUGGGUAAACAGGAGAUACACCACUACAACUAAAUACGUCAAGUAAUAUCACUAAUUUCACAUGCUUAGUAGAGUAGGAAGAACAACAAUAUCCUGUAUGGUAAUUUUGAGUUCUUCUCAAAAUGUACAUAUCAUAUGUGAAGCAAAUAAUUUAUGUAUU